GGUUUAGUCAUGCUGGCCACAUGACCUGGAAAGCUGUCUGUGGACAAACACCGGAUCCCUUGGCCUGAAAUUGAGACGAACGCCACAACCCCAUAGUCGCCUUUGACUGGACUUAAUCGUCUAGGGGUCCUUUACCUUUUACCCUAUUCCUGAACCCUAGUAAGCUGCCCACCAUUUUUUUCAAGUAGUCCUUGCAUGCUCAGACAUCAACUGAGUUUUUCGGGGGGAGGCCAAACCCUUUCAUUUUCAGUUUGAUUUUUUGCUGAACUAAAAUGUGGUUUUAGCAAUCUCUGAUUUAUUCCUUUCCCCUUUUUUCUGUUUGGUCUUGGCACACACACACGGAUUCUCUCUUUGUUUUGGGUAGCUGGUGAAGAGAGGGGACCUUUCUGUCCAGUGACCCUGGGAUGUCAUUUGAUUGAACCAAAAACUGUGCUACUUCAGCAAACAUAGUCCAAGUUGGACAAUUAUCCCCUCCCCAUUCCUAACACCCACCCACCCAGUCUUCUUUGAAAUGCAGUCAGAAACAUUUAAUUUAUUUCUGCCUGUUCAUAGAACAAUUCGGGAAUUGAAUGACAAGGUUGCUUGUUGAGAUUGAGUCUUAAUAAAAUUCAGAUGAAUGCUGGUGAGGAAAAAUUAAAUUAUAUGACUUGGUGAUGCAUUUUUCUCUCUUUUCUCCAAGGAUUUAGCAAUGAGAGCAGUUAAAGGAAUCGCAAAUUGGUAUCUGGGCAGGCACCACAAAAUAAUAUCAACCAAUUUCCAGAAAGCUCCUGAACUCCCACCAGAUAUUUAGAUUUUCAGCUUCGUAGUAGAAAGCUCCCCAGGAU